rnacentral:rRNA from 1 species
AUGAUACUCAGUGUUUUCUUUUUAUUUGUCUGCGUUGCCCGAGUGCAGAAGCUCUUUGCCGCGGCCGCCGGCGAGUGGAUCCUCGUCACCAGCCCGACGCCGUUCAACCGCUGCGUGCUGCUGCGCUGCCCGUCCGUGUCCUUCGAGGACGGGGGCGUGCUGCUCGACGGCGUCAACGAGCGCCUGCUCACCCAGGACCGCCACUACGUCAACCUCAGCCGGGGCAGCAUCCCCGCCGCGCCCGCCGGGCAGGGCGCCGGCGAGGUCUCCUACCAGCGGCUCUGCAUCCCCCUCGAGGACGGCGGGGUGAUCGCGCUUGACUGGCCCGCUAACCUGGAUCUGGACAAGGAGCAUGGCCUUGAUUCCACGGUGCUCGUCGUGCCCGGCACCCCCAAGGGGAGCAUGGACAGGGGCAUCGAGAUGUUCGUGCUGGAUGCGCUCAAGAAUGGCUACUUCCCCAUUGUUAUGAACCCCAGAGGGUGCGGCGGAUCACCGGUUACUACGCCAAGGUUAUUUACAGCGGCUGACAGUGAUGACAUCUGCACAACGAUCCGCUUUAUAAACAGCAAAAGGCCAUGGACGACAAUAAUGGGUGUUGGGUGGGGUUAUGGUGCCAAUAUGCUGACAAAGUACCUUGUGGAAGCUGGAGAGUCUACUCCUCUUACGGCUGCUGUUUGUAUCGACAAUCCUUUUGACCUACAGGAAGCAACAAGAACAUUUCCUCAUAAUAUCGCUCUUGAUCAAAAGCUCACAGCUGGCUUGGUUGAUAUUCUGCGUGCCAAUAAGGAACUCUUUCAAGGAAAAGAUAAAGACUUUGAUGUCCAAAAGGCUUUAUCGGCGAACUGUUUGCGUGACUUUGAUGGAGCAAUAUCCAUGGUUUCACAUGGGUUUGCUAAUGUUGAUGACUUCUAUUCGGAAAAUAGCGUGAGGCCUUUAGUUGCCGGCGUGAAAAUACCUGUACUCUUUAUACAGAGUGAUGAUGGGACUGUGCCACUUUUGUCAGUACCGCGCAGUUCAAUAUCAGAAAAUCCUUUUACCAGCCUUCUCCUUUGUUCUUGUGUACACUCAACUGGAUUCACCUUUGAGAGAUACACUGAAUUAUGGUGCCAGAAUCUUACCCUGGAGUGGUUGUCAGCAGUGGAGUUUGCUCUUCUUAAGGGUCGUCGUCGUCAUCCGCUUAUCAAAGAUGUGGAUAUCACUGUUAACCCAUCCAAAGGUCUAGCAUUCACCGCACCUCAACCGAAUGAUAAGAAGGUCCCCAAAGAGGACAAUUUUCAUGAGCAAGCUCAGUUUUUUCUCUCUAAUAAUUUUCCCCAUGGAAUAAAUGGGCUGCUCAAUGAUUCUGCAAAUGAAUAUUAUGGUGCUCAAAACAGCGAAAAUGGGCUGCUCACUGAUUCUGCAAAUGGAUAUUCUGGUGCUCAAAACAGCGAAAAUGGGCUGCUCACUGAUUCUGCAAAUGGAUAUUCUGGUGCUCAAAACAGCAAAAAUGGGCUGCUCACUGAUUCUGCAAAUGGAUAUUCUGGUGCUCAAAACAGCGAAAACGGGCCGUUAAAAGAUAAUGGUGACGUAGGCAGGAUAAGCAAAGAGGCUGAUGAAGAGGAGCCAGAAGAGAUUCCUGAAGAUGUUGAAAAAGGUCAUGUACUACAAUCAGCAGGUCUUGUGGUGAAUAUGCUGGAUGCUACAAUGCCUGGCACUCUGGAUGAUGAUCAAAAGAAGAAGGUUAUGGUGGCAGUAGAACAAGGCGAAUCCCUUGUGAAAGCUCUAGAAGAAGCUGUACCUGAAGAUGUGCGUGGAAAGCUUACGUCGUCUGUGACUGAAAUUUUACAAUCUAAACGACACAAUUUCAAUUUGGAUGCAUUGAAGCGCGGCUGGACUAAUGCAAGAUCAACCACCAAGACAGUGGUCCAAGAAAAGGUCAAAGAGUCGGAUCAUGAGAGUGGAGUUAAGGAUGCCAAAAUUGUUGACCAGAACAGGAGUGUUACAUCCAUUGGUGAGGGAGACCAAAAAGAUACUAAUCUGACCUCAAACGACAACAAUCCUGCUGAAGGUAUUGAUUUAUCACAAUCAAAGCCUUACCAAGCUUCUGGACCUGUCGGAACUGGAAUCGAAACGGGAAAUGAUCAGAUUCAACUCGAUAAACCUGAGAGAGAUAGCUCUGGAGUGAAUGAAAGCAGUGAAGAGAAGCAAGAGGCCGAUCAGGGCAGUGUAACAGACCCAAAGCAUCUUUCUGAUGAUCCAUCAACAGCCAAUUCAAACGGAACUCCCAGAGAGCGAGUGCAGUCGGCAGAUGCUACAGCAGAGCAGAAUCCACAAUCCAAUAUGGUAGACAAGGAAGUCGAUGCAGUUCAUACCAAUGAAGAUAAGGUUGUACUUAAUGUUGUUGAUCAGAGCACGCAAAUCUCUAAAACAGAAGAAUCUAAACAUCCGUCAGUUAAUAAUGUGAGACAGGCAUUAGAUGCCUUAACUGAUUUUGAUGACUCGACUCAAAUGGCUGUCAAUAGUGUGUUCGGAGUUAUUGAAAAUAUGAUCGACCAGUUUCAAAAGCACAAGGACUCUGAGGACAGGGAGAAUUCUGAUGGAGCCACCGAUAAGCCUCCUGUGGAUGAGACAGAGUCUGAUGCGAUGGUGGAUGUGGACAAUGAUUUAAGUGGAAAGGACAAAAAUCCAUCAUCAUCUGGUGAAUCACAACAUAAUACUUCUGUUAAAGAUCGUCCGAUCAUGUCUGAAGAUCAUAAUUUUAGUGAGAAAAAAUCUGAUUUGAACACUGUUCCACCUUCGAAAGGAAAAAUCAGAAAUUCUCAAAGAAAUAUACCUGGAAAUGAUGUUGAUGGUGAUGUCGGGAAGAUGGUGAGUGUCUCACCUGAUUACUUGUUGGAUGUAGCUGCCAGUUCUUAUUUGAAGGUGCAGUAUGCUUUGUACCUUCAUGAAUAUCUUACAAGACAACUGCAACUUCAGUCACCAGGUUUGAACUCGGCAACUGAUCUUUUCCUUGAUCCGCAAGAGGGUAAAUGGAAACUAGCAGAUCAAAUGGACAAUGUGCAAGGUGACAUUUCUAUAUCUGGAAAAUAUAGCUUCGUCAAUGAAGGGAUCAAGCAUGCAGAUUCCUCGCAAGCUCCACCUAGGACAGGCAAUGUCAUUUUGCCACCAUACUCAGCUCUGCGAAAUUUUGCAGAUUCUGAAACCAAAAGGAAGGUAAUUGAGAAGUUGCCUGGUACUGCUUUGAGACAGACACUCACAUACUUUAUUACUGAUGAGUUAACAAAUACCCUCAAAACUGAAGUUGGUCGCAGACUGGGGAUAACAAAAGCUGAGAAACUUCAAAGAAGUCUUGCACAUGAUGUAGAACGACUCGCUACUCAAGUUUCUAGAACUAUUGUCCAUGACUCUGAGUUAUACAGAGCAACAUCUGUGCAGAGGAAUCCAACGACUGUGAAAUUUGGUGUGGUCCAUGGCGAAAAUGUUGUUGAAGCUGUAUCAACUGCAGUUCUGCAAUCUCAUGAUCUGAGAAAGGUUCUUCCAGUGGGUGUAAUAGUUGGUGUAACUUUAGCGUCCUUGAGAAACUACUUCCACGUUGGUGUCUCUAAGCAUGACAACCUUACAGAAGCUGCGGUCAAGUCAGGAAUUUUGGAUGAGGAUCUUAUUAUUCAGGAUGCCGGCGAAGGAAAUAUAGAUAAUCUUUCCACUCAGAAAGAAGCAAAUGCUGAUCUUUGCACACAAAAAGAAGCAAAUACAGAUUAUUAUAAAGAAAAACCCGGUGAGCACAAGCAACAGGAGAUAACAAAGUCAGAUGGUAAAGGCAUGAUGGUUGGGGCUGUAACGGCUGCCCUAGGUGCUUCUGCAUUCGUAGCACAUCAUCAACAAAAGAAUGCUGAAGAGCAUGAUAGCAUGGAUAGCACUCAGCAUAAUCUUGACGACACUGAACUGGAAAAGGGCCAGAACAACUUAGUGAGAAGCUUUGCUGAGAAAGCCAUGUCUGUUGCAGCUCCGGUGGUACCCAAGAAGGGUGGUGGUGAACUUGAUCACGAUAGGCUUGUUGCUGUUCUAGCUGAACUAGGGCAAAGAGGUGGAAUCUUGAAAUUUGUGGGGAAAAUUGCUCUACUCUGGGGAGGUAUUCGUGGUGCUAUGAGCUUGACUGACAGGCUCAUCUUGUUCUUACGUAUCAGCGAGCGUCCCUUAUUUCAGAGGAUUAUGGGAUUUUCCUUCAUGGUACUUGUUCUAUGGUCUCCUGUGGUGAUUCCUUUACUGCCAACUCUUGUUCAAAGCUGGACAAUAAGCGCUUCAACAGGAAUUGUUGGGGAUGCUUGCAUUGUUGGUCUGUAUGUCUCUAUAAUGAUACUUGUAAUGCUAUGGGGAAAAAGAAUACGUGGCUAUGAGGAUCCAGUUGAUCAAUAUGGAAUGAAUCUUGCAUCUUCAUCAAGGCUGCAAGAAUUUUUCCAAGGUCUUGUCGGAGGCGUGUCUGUCGUUUGGUUGGUGCAUUCGAUAAGCAUUUUACUUGGCUUUGCAACUUUUGGAGAAGGGACGCCUUCAUUCUUACCAUUUGAUCUUCUCAAAUCUUCAAGAAAUGUAUUGUUGCCAGCUCUUAGAGGGUUUAUCACAGCAACUAGCAUUUCUGUGGUGGAAGAAGUGGUUUUCAGAUCAUGGCUUCCAGAAGAAGUUGCAGUUGAUCUUGGUUACUACAAUGCUAUUCUGAUGUCUGGAGUUGCUUUUUCUCUGAUUCACCGGUCUCUACCUUCAGUACCAGGCUUCGUGCUACUUUCCCUGGUGCUUUUUGGGCUUAAGCAAAGAACGCAGGGGAAUCUUGCUGCACCGAUUGGCCUGCGAUCUGGAAUUAUGACUGCUAGUUAUCUCACACAAACCAGUCGCAUUAUUGCAUUCAAACCUGAAACUCCAUUCUGGAUGAUUAGUACAUAUCAUCUUCAUCCGUUUGAUGGUGCGAUUGGGUUAAGUAUUUGUGCAUUACUUGCGAUCCUUUUCUUCCCUCAGAGACCUGUUCAGAAGGAUACAUCUGCGUCAUGA